AUUGAACGCUGGCGGAAUGCUUUACACAUGCAAGUCGAACGGCAGCACGGGGGCAGCCCUGGCGGCGAGUGGCGAACGGGUGAGUAAUACAUCGGAACGUGCCCGGUCGUGGGGGAUAACGUAGCGAAAGUUACGCUAAUACCGCAUACGAUCUGAGGAUGAAAGCGGGGGACCUUCGGGCCUCGCGCGAUCGGAGCGGCCGAUGUCAGAUUAGGUAGUUGGUGGGGUAAAGGCCUACCAAGCCGACGAUCUGUAGCUGGUCUGAGAGGACGACCAGCCACACUGGGACUGAGACACGGCCCAGACUCCUACGGGAGGCAGCAGUGGGGAAUUUUGGACAAUGGGCGCAAGCCUGAUCCAGCCAUUCCGCGUGCAGGACGAAGGCCUUCGGGUUGUAAACUGCUUUUGUACGGAACGAAAAGGCUCUGGCUAAUACCUGGGGCUCAUGACGGUACCGGAAGAAUAAGCACCGGCUAACUACGUG
rnacentral:rRNA from 1 species